rnacentral:rRNA from 1 species
UGCCGCGUGAGUGAAGAAGGCCUUCGGGUUGUAAAGCUCUUUUGUCAGGGAAGAAACGGUCUGUUCUAAUACAGUGGGCUAAUGACGGUACCUGAAGAAUAAGCACCGGCUAACUACGUGCCAGCAGCCGCGGUAAUACGUAGGGUGCAAGCGUUAAUCGGAAUUACUGGGCGUAAAGCGUGCGCAGGCGGUUUUGUAAGUUUGUCGUGAAAUCCCCGGGCUCAACCUGGGAAUGGCGAUGAAGACUGCAAGGCUAGAGUUUGGCAGAGGGGGGUAGAAUUCCACGUGUAGCAGUGAAAUGCGUAGAUAUGUGGAGGAACACCGAUGGCGAAGGCAGCCCCCUGGGUCAAAACUGACGCUCAUGCACGAAAGCGUGGGGAGCAAACAGGAUUAGAUACCCUGGUAGUCCACGCCCUAAACGAUGUCUACUAGUUGUCGGGUCUUAAUUGACUUGGUAACGCAGCUAACGCGUGAAGUAGACCGCCUGGGGAGUACGGUCGCAAGAUUAAAACUCAAAGGAAUUGACGGGGACCCGCACAAGCGGUGGAUGAUGUGGAUUAAUUCGAUGCAACGCGAAAAACCUUACCUACCCUUGACAUGGCUGGAAUCCCUGAGAGAUUG